rnacentral:rRNA from 1 species
UACGGGGGGGGCAAGCGUUGUUCGGAAUUACUGGGCGUAAAGGGCUCGUAGGCGGCCAACUAAGUCGGAUGUGAAAUCCCCAGGCUCAACCUGGGAACUGCAUCCGAUACUGGAUGGCUUGAAUUCGGGAGAGGGAUGCAGAAUUCCAGGUGUAGCGGUGAAAUGCGUAGAUAUCUGGAGGAAUACCGGUGGCGAAGGCGGCAUCCUGGACCGGUAUUGACGCUGAGGCGCGAAAGCCAGGGGAGCAAACGGG